CCUACGGGUGGCUGCAGUGGGGAAUAUUGCACAAUGGGGGAAACCCUGAUGCAGCGACGCCGCGUGAAGGAAGAAGUAUUUCGGUAUGUAAACCUCUAUCAGCAGGGAAGAAAAUGACGGUACCUGACUAAGAAGCCCCGGCUAACUACGUGCCAGCAGCCGCGGUAAUACGUAGGGGGCAAGCGUUAUCCGGAUUUACUGGGUGUAAAGGGAGCGUAGGCGGUUCAGCAAGUCGGAAGUGAAAGCCCGGGGCGCAACUCCGGGACUGCUUUUGAAACUGUUGAACUGGAGUGCAGGAGAGGUAAGUGGAAUUCCUAGUGUAGCGGUGAAAUGCGUAGAUAUUAGGAGGAACACCAGUGGCGAAGGCGGCUUACUGGACUGUAAAUGACGCUGAGGCUCGAAAGCGUGGGGAGCAAACAGGAUUAGAUACCCCUGUAGUC
rnacentral:rRNA from 1 species